UGGGGAAUAUUGGACAAUGGGCGCAAGCCUGAUCCAGCCAUGCCGCGUGAGUGAUGAAGGCCUUCGGGUCGUAAAGCUCUGUCGGAGGGAACGAAUGCUCCUGAAGUUAACAGCCUCAGGAGGUGACGGUACCCUCAAAGGAAGCACCGGCUAACUCUGUGCCAGCAGCCGCGGUAAUACAGGGGGUGCGAGCGUUAAUCGGAAUUACUGGGCGUAAAGGGCGCGUAGGCGGUCGAGUAAGUCGGAUGUGAAAUCCCCGGGCUUAACCUGGGAAUUGCAUUCGAUACUGCUUGGCUAGAGUGUGGAAGAGGGAAGCGGAAUUUCCGGUGUAGCGGUGAAAUGCGUAGAUAUCGGAAGGAACACCAGUGGCGAAGGCGGCUUCCUGGUCCAACACUGACGCUGAGGCGCGAAAGCGUGGGGAGCAAACAGGAUUAGAUACCCCCGUAGUCCCUGAGCGGGCUGGCAAGGCGCAU
rnacentral:rRNA from 1 species